rnacentral:rRNA from 1 species
UACGUAGGGGGCAAGCGUUAUCCGGAUUUACUGGGUGUAAAGGGAGCGUAGACGGCAGUGCAAGUCUGAAGUGAAAGGCGGGGGCCCAACCCCCGGACUGCUUUGGAAACUGUGCUGCUGGAGUGCAGGAGAGGCAAGUGGAAUUCCUAGUGUAGCGGUGAAAUGCGUAGAUAUUAGGAAGAACACCAGUGGCGAAGGCGGCUUUCUGGACUGAAACUGACGCUGAGGCACGAAAGCGUGGGGAGCGAACAGG